CUGCAGGCGGCGGCGGCGGAAGGUGGGAGCAGCGAUUCCGACAGGACGAGCUCUGGGGGGAUCAUAUGCCAUUCAAGGACUUGGAGACCAGAGGUGACAUGAUCUGUUCUAUUUAUAAGAUCUGACUGAAGUGGGACUGCAAGCAGAAGCAGGAGAUCAGUGAGGAUUUAUUGGUGUCAGUGCAACAAUUUAAAACAUAAAUGAUGAAAAACAUAGUCACAGUGUGCUCUUCCCAUGCACUGAAGACCACUUCUAUGGGAGGCAAGAAGAAAAAAAGUCAUGAAGGUUAUUUGUAAGUUCCAAGUUCUCCUUGUAUGCUACAUUCUAAAGUUAAUAUAAAAUCCCUCGGAUUGUCUGUAUCAGUUCUCACUUGUCGAAUGUUUCCUUCGAGUAUUCCUAGUUGAGAAUUAAAAGCACGUUAUUAAAGCCACCAGGGUAACCAGGUAAGACCUUUGAAAGGUAAGGAGUCUCCUAGGAUCUUGGUCACCUGUUUGAUGAAUUACUUUGGUUUACCUGAACUCAUGACCACAUAAGGCCCUUUGAAAUUGACUAAAGGCUGAUGUCUUACAAGAAAAUAAUACUUCCAAUCCAGCUCUUGCACCCAUGUGGGAGACUUGGAAGAAGCUCCUGACUUCCAGUUGGUUCAGCUCCACCCAUUGUGGCCA